rnacentral:rRNA from 1 species
AGUGGACGCUGGCGGUAGGCCUAACACAUGCAAGUCGAACGGCAGCACAGUAAGAGCUUGCUCUUACGGGUGGCGAGUGGCGGACGGGUGAGGAAUACAUCGGAAUCUACUUUUUCGUGGGGGAUAACGUAGGGAAACUUACGCUAAUACCGCAUACGACCUACGGGUGAAAGCAGGGGAUCUUCGGACCUUGCGCGAUUGAAUGAGCCGAUGUCGGAUUAGCUAGUUGGCGGGGUAAAGGCCCACCAAGGCGACGAUCCGUAGCUGGUCUGAGAGGAUGAUCAGCCACACUGGAACUGAGACACGGUCCAGACUCCUACGGGAGGCAGCAGUGGGGAAUAUUGGACAAUGGGCGCAAGCCUGAUCCAGCCAUACCGCGUGGGUGAAGAAGGCCUUCGGGUUGUAAAGCCCCUUUGUUGGGAAAGAAAAGCAGCAGGUUAAUACCCCGCUGUUCUGACGGUACCCAAAGAAUAAGCACCGGCUAACUUCGUG